rnacentral:rRNA from 1 species
GAACGAACUUUUUAGACUUUAGACUUUAGAUAUUGGAAUCUAGUAAUUUAUUUACUAACUUCCAGCUUCUAACCUCUAAUGUCUAAAUCGUUAGUGGCGGACGGGUGAGUAACACGUUGGAACCUGCCCCAAAGUAAGGGAUAAGCCACCGAAAGGUGGUCUAAUACCUUAUAGUAUCCAUCUCGUAUGGAUUAAAGCUUUAUGCGCUUUGGGAGGGGCCUGCGUUUGAUUAGCUAGUUGGUGAGGUAAAAGCUCACCAAGGCUACGAUCAAUAGCUGGUUUGAGAGGAUGACCAGCCACACUGGGACUGAGAUACGGCCCAGACUCCUACGGGAGGCAGCAGUAAGGAAUCUUCCACAAUGGGGGCAACCCUGAUGGAGCAAUACCGCGUGCAGGAUGAAGCGUUUCGGCGUGUAAACUGCUUUUAUCACCGAAGAUUAUGACUGUAGGUGAAGAAUAAGGACCGGCUAACUACGUGCCAGCAGCCGCGGUAAUACGUAGGGUCCAAGCGUUAUCCGGAAUUACUGGGCGUAAAGCGUCUGUAGGCGGCUUAAUAAGUCGGGUGCGAAAUCUUGCGGCUCAACCGUAUAGACUGUGCUCGAAACUAUUUAGCUAGAGGUAGGUAGAGGCAAGUGGAAUUUCUGGUGUAGGAGUGACAUCCGUAGAUAUCAGAAGGAACACCAAUGGCGAAGGCAGCUUGCUGGGCCUUACCUGACGCUCAGAGACGAAAGCGUGGGGAGCGAACGGNAUUANAUACCCCGGUAGUCACGCCGUAACGAUGAUCNCUAGUAGUAUGAAGAUCCGACCUUUGUGCUANAAAANUACNNGAUAGNGAUCCCCUGGGGAAUC